rnacentral:rRNA from 1 species
UGGGGAAUUUUGGACAAUGGGCGAAAGCCUGAUCCAGCAAUGCCGCGUGUGUGAAGAAGGCCUUCGGGUUGUAAAGCACUUUUGUCCGGAAAGAAAUCCUUGGCUCUAAUACAGUCGGGGGAUGACGGUACCGGAAGAAUAAGCACCGGCUAACUACGUGCCAGCAGCCGCGGUAAUACGUAGGGUGCAAGCGUUAAUCGGAAUUACUGGGCGUAAAGCGUGCGCAGGCGGUUUGCUAAGACCGAUGUGAAAUCCCCGGGCUCAACCUGGGAACUGCAUUGGUGACUGGCAGGCUAGAGUAUGGCAGAGGGGGGUAGAAUUCCACGUGUGGCAGUGAAAUGCGUAGAGAUGUGGAGGAAUACCGAUGGCGAAGGCAGCCCCCUGGGCCAAUACUGACGCUCAUGCACGAAAGCGUGGGGAGCAAACAGGAUUAGAUACCCUGGUAGUCCACGCCCUAAACGAUGUCAACUAGUUGUUGGGGAUUCAUUCCUUAGUAACGUAGCUAACGCGUGAAGUUGACCGCCUGGGGAGUACGGUCGCAAGAUUAAAACUCAAAGGAAUUGACGGGGUCAUAGCUGUUUCCU